AUUGAACGCUGGCGGCAGGCCUAACACAUGCAAGUCGAGCGAGCGGCGGACGGGUGAGUAAUGUAUGGGGACUGCCCGAUAGAGGGGGAUAACUACUGGAAACGGUGGCUAAUACCGCAUACUAUCGGAUAACCCAUAUGGGAUUAGCUAGUAGGUGGGGUAAAGGCUCACCUAGGCGACGAUCUCUAGCCGACCUGAGAGGGUGAUCGGCCACACUGGAACUGAGACACGGUCCAGACUCCGACGGAGGCAGCAGUAGGGAAUCUUCCGCAAUGGGCGAAAGCCUGACGGAGCAACGCCGCGUGAGUGAUGAAGGUCUUAGGGUUGUAAAGUACUUUCAGCGGGGAGGCGUUACCCGCAGAAGAAGCACCGGCUAACUCCGUGCCAGCCGCCGCGGUAAUAC
rnacentral:rRNA from 1 species